CCUGAUAAUUAUUUUAUAUGUUAUUACAGAUUAUUUAAAAGUGAGUUGUGUAAAUAAAAUCGGUAUGUCGGCUCUGUGUUUAGAGAAAUCUGCUCGGACAUUACAAACCUGUUUCGGACGUGCGCCAGCUGGGAGAGAGAAAUCUACGCGGACAUUACAAACCUGUUUCGUACAUGCGCCAGCCGGGGAGAAUUCAAGCCUGAAGAAGAGGUGCUAGGUAAAUUACCCUCCUUUCAUAAAAACUUUCUUUCUAAUGAAAAGUGAACUUGUGUAAUAAUUAUUUUAUUUUCUAUCAUACCUAAUAAUUAUUUUACUUUUCGGUACUGAUUCAGCAACCCCGAACGACGUUCCUGAACAGCUUAACA